GACGGAGGGGGCAAGCGUUGUCCGGACUCACUGGGCGUAAAGGGUGCGUAGGCGGUUUGGUGCGUCGGCGCUGAAAUCCGUGGGCUUAACCCACGGGCGCGUGCCGAUACGACUUGACUUGAGGCUCGGAGAGGGUGGGAGAACUCCUGGUGUAGUGGUGAAAUGCGUAGAGAUCAGGAAGAAUACCUGUGGCGCAAGCCGCCCACC
rnacentral:rRNA from 1 species